GGCAUUGGGGGUCUUCUUAUAGAAGUUUGGCUGGCUCAUCUUUACUUGGGCUUCAAGUAGCUUGACGCCAAAGUGACUUGGUGGUGAAUCAUCUUUAAUAAAGUUAACUUGGAGGUGAAGUAAUCAUCUUUGCUUGAGAGUAAAGCAACUUGGUGACUUGUCGAGGAAUCAACUUUGUUGGUGACUUGUUGUCAGUGGACCAUCUGACUACUGU
rnacentral:lncRNA from 1 species